rnacentral:misc_RNA from 1 species
GAUGAAGAACGUAGCGAAAUGCGAUAAGUAAUGUGAAUUGCAGAAUUCAGUGAAUCAUCGAAUCUUUGAACGCACCUUGCACCCUUUGGACUGCUCCAAAGGGUAUGCUCGUUUGAGUGUCAUUGUACUCUCACACUCUCUGAUCCUUUGGAUUUGGGGAGCAGUGGACUUGGGUGCUUGCUGCUUCCUUGUGGCUCACCUGAAAUGCAUCAGUGCAUCUCUCGAUUGGACAUAGUACGGCGUGAUAAGUGUCUUCUCCGGCACCUCAUAUGAGGCUGGCCGAUCGGGAGCUCUGUGCUUUCAAACCGUCUUCGGACAACGCUGACAACUUGACCUCAAAUCGAGUAGGACUACCCGCUGAACUUAAGCAUAUCAAUAAGCGGAGGA